rnacentral:lncRNA from 1 species
CAUCCACGAUGUCCCAACAAGGCCCAGGACUCCUCAGAAGGGCCUUGGGCCACCACUCAUGUCCCCAGAGGUCCCUGUUCCCAGAUGAGCCUUGCUCUCCCUCCCAGAAGGUGCCCCCAGGUCCCUGGGCCACCAGGAUGUCCCCAUGAAACCCUGGCGCUGUCCCCAAAGGCCCAUCCAGGAUGUCCCCCACCCUCACAAGGCCCUGGAUGCCACAGGACGGCCCCAGGUGCAUCCAGGCCCAGCCAGGUGAGCCCCAGAGAUCCCAGUUCCAUCCAGGGUGUCCCCAUGGUGACCUGGACCCUGCACAAGGUCCAGCCAGGUGACCCUGGGAGGUGCCAGGUCCAUCCAGGAUGUUCCUGGACCCCUCAGAAGGUCCAUCCGGGCCGUGCCCACCAAGGCCUGCAGAGCGCUCCAGCUCCCUCCAGGUGAUGCCCAGAUCCACCCAGGAGCCCCCGGCACUCCCCAGGUCCGUCCCGGUGCUCCCGUGUCCCCCCGUGGGCGUCCCCACCGUGUCCGUGGCUCAGAGCCGGAGCUCCGUGGCCACCUCAGAGGCACUCCCGGGUCACCGCUGCCAGGCCACCGUGUCCGUGGCUCGCAGCCAGAGCGCCGAGGUGGCCGUGACUGUUGUCCCCAAGAGCCGCAGCUCGGUGGCCAUUCCCGGGUCACCGUGUCCCCAAGAGCCGCAGCUCAGUGGCCAUUCCCGGGUCACCGUGUCCCCAAGAGCCGCAGCUCGGUGGCCAUUCCCGGGUCACCGUGUCCCCAAGAGCCGCAGCUCGCUGGCCGCUCCCGGCUCGCCGUGUCCGUGUCCCCGGAGCCGCCCCCGGGUGCCCCCCGCCGUCCCGGCCGUGGCUCAGAGCUUGAGCUCGUUGGCCACCUUGGAGGCGAUGUUCUUGAAGGCCAUGGAGGUGCCGGCGAUGCGC